rnacentral:rRNA from 1 species
GAUGAACGCUGGCGGCGUGCCUAAUACAUGCAAGUCGAGCGAACAGACGAGGAGCUUGCUCCUCUGACGUUAGCGGCGGACGGGUGAGUAACACGUGGAUAACCUACCUAUAAGACUGGGAUAACUUCGGGAAACCGGAGCUAAUACCGUAUAAUAUAUUGAACCGCAUGGUUCAAUAGUGAAAGACGGUUUUGCUGUCACUUAUAGAUGGCUCCGCGCCGCAUUAGCUAGUUGGUAAGGUAACGGCUUACCAAGGCUACGAUGCGUAGCCGACCUGAGAGGGUGAUCGGCCACACUGGAACUGAGACACGGUCCAGACUCCUACGGGAGGCAGCAGUAGGGAAACUUCCGCAAUGGGCGAAAGCCUGACGUAGCAACGCCGCGUGAGUGAUGAAGGUCUUCGGAUCGUAAAACGCUGUUAUUAGGGAAGAACAAAUGUGUAAGUAACUAUGCACGUCUUGACGGUACCUAAUCAGAAAGCCACGGCUAACUACGUG